ensembl:lncRNA
GGCCCCAGAGAGCCGGUGGGGCUGGAGCCGCGGAGUGGCCUGAACACAGCGCUGGUGCAUCGUUCCCUGGCCCCCGCCUCGCCAGCUGCAGCCUUGGAAGGCCCUUUGCCCCUCCAAGCCUCAGUUUCCUUUUCUGUAAGGGAGGAUGGCUGUCCUCGCCCCCUGGGUGGUGGCUCAGAGCUGGAUAUGCUGUGUAGUAGUCACAUGGGCGGCAUACUGGUGGCUGGGGUCCCCAGGGGCUGCCCGUGGGUGGUCAGCUCCAUUUGGAGGCCUGUGGUUUCCGGCUAGUGUCUUCCACCAGGCACAGCAAGCCCCAGACAAUGCUACAUGAGGAUUGUGUGGGCCCCUGUGCUGUGCCCGGGCCGUGCUCACCCACAUGGGGAGCCUGAGGCACUGCCCACUGGGGCCUCCCUGGCCCAGCUCCACUCUGCCCUUCCCCACGAGAACCAGCCUCCCCCCGGGAGCAGCUCCAUCUGGGGCAUUUUCAUGCCUUCUGCUGAGGUGGGUGGGGGUGGGGAUUGGGCCAGUGGCUCCGCUUUCCUCGGCCGCCUGUCCCCACUGCAUGAGGAGACGCAUUCGAGGGGCUGAGAGGCUGAGCCUGGGGCCCGGCCUGGCUUGGGUGGUGUCUCCCCUGCCACCUUGUCCUCAUCUGUACUGAGGGUCAGCAUCAGCACCUCGGCUGUAUGAUGGUGCGGAGGCCACCUGUCCUGCACCCACAGGAGGCCCUGUGCCUCAGCAAGGGGGGGCCGAGCUUCCCUCACCUGCCUAAGUGUCCCUUCCUAUAACAUGGAGCUCCAGCCUCAGACUUCAUGGGAAGUGCGUGUGGCCUCGAGGUACAAACACCCUAUUGUAAGCCCUCUGAAUGCUUUGCUUAGGAAAUCAGAACGUUGGGGCUCCCUUCUCCUGCACAGGCCAGGCUUGGGGCCGGCAGAGUCUGAAGAGGUGGCAGGUCUGGGGCUAGGAGGCCUGGCAGGAAAUCAUGGGAGGCCUUGGGGCAGUGCCUGGCUCUCUGGGCCGCGGCAUCCUCCUCAGAGAAGGGACAGUUGGGAGGGUCACUCGCGAGGGGCCCUAUGCCAGCAGCGGGCAGAGGGGAGGGCAAAGUGGUGGUCCUGGGCCCCGCAGGCUGAUUGUGAGGCAGGCUGGUCUCCAGUCCCCACCUGCAUGGCUCUGUUCCUCCAGACGGCCCUGACCCCAGCACCCCAAACUCUGUCUUCCCAGGUGGGGAGCCCCGACAGGGCAGGGAUCCUUCAUCUCAGGAAACGCAAUCCCUUCCCUGGCCUGUGAAUAUUUCAUCAGCAGAUUAAAAAUUGAAGCUGAACCAUCCCUGCUCCUCCGGGAGGGUGGAGAAGGGGGGCCGGCUCCGUUUCAGGCUGGUUUGAGUAUUUUUCUUGAUAAUGGAGCCGCGUCAAUUAGAAAAUGACAUUGCUGGUUAAAAUGCCGUUCUGCGGCCCUCUUUAAUUAAGGCCGAGACGUAAUAACCAAUGCGCUGCUGCGAACGCAUUUUUAACCAUCAGAACGCGAGGUGAAUGACAUGGAGUUGGGUUGAUCAGAGCGGGCGUGCGGGGCCUCGGAGAGAUUGAUGGAGGCCGCACAGCAGCUGCGGCUCUGGCAGGGCAUGGGGUGUGCCAGUGUGUGUUGGGUCAGCUGGUUCCUCUUUUCUGUGUGCACGUGUGCGUGCAUGUGGCAUGUGUGGGUUGGGACCAGAAGGGCCUGGGGGCUGAGGUUGAGAGUCCUACUGAGUUUGCCUGCAUGGGCCAUGGUGCUGGAGCCAGAGGGCCCUCCGGGCAGCCCGAGGAGGGAGCGAGGCUGCACAGGCUGUGGGAGUCAGAGGCUGUUGAAGGCAGAGUCAGGCUGGGGUGCAGCAAGAGGAGGGUUCUGGGCAUGGAAUGAGGACAACAGCGUGGCCCAGGAGCCGCUGUGGGUUUGAUGGUGCCUGGUGAGAUGAGGAAGGGGGCAGACUGACUCUGUGCCUCCCGGGGUGCCUGGAAAACCCUGGGGAGGUGCGUGGGGGGCGAGGGGAGGGGAGCAGGGAGGUGGUGUCCAGCCAGCCCCUCAGGUGCCUGAAGGAUGAGCACGGGAAACAGCUGUCUCGGGGACCCUGGAUGAGUCCGGGGUAUGAGGAAGUCUGAGGAGCCGCAGUCCUUCCCUGCUGCUGAGCGGGGGCCCUGCUCUAGGCCCCAAGUGGGCAGCACAGGGCCUGGUGGGGCUGUCCUGCCUUCCCUGCCUCACCCCUGCCCAGCCGUGUGCAGACUGUGCGGGAACUGGCGUCUGUCAGGACCACCCGGCCUCCUGCUGGCCCUGCUUUCCAUUGGUGGGGCUGAAGGUGCACCCUGGCUGAGCCCUGCAGCUCUUGGGCUGCUGGCUUGACACAGGGUACCAGCUGCCCCAGGGAAACAAGGUCAGGGCUUGCCUGGGACUGUCUGGGACGGGCAAUGUGGGGGCCAGCAUGGGGCGGGCUCCACAGCCGACGGCUCACAUGCCUGUCUGGGCCGUGUCGAGUCUCGCUUGAGGUUGGAGCAGUCUCCCUUUGGGGACAUCCAGGGCUCUUGGGCCUGUCUCUGGCAGGGAGUCAGGAGCCCUGGGGACAUGGGAGUUCUCUUCUGCUUCCUUGGUGUGAGGAAGUACGUCCUCAGCCUGCUCUUCUCUUUAGGGACACUUGGCCCUGCCUUCUGGCGCCCACGUGGAAAGCCAGCCAGGGGUGCUGUGACGUUUGUUGACACCCUCCCACCACCUGUGCUGUCUGGGCUGGCCUCUGGAGGUGCAGCCUGGGGGGAUGAGCCACCCCAGGUAUAGGGUCCCCUUCGGGAACGGGGAGGAGGGGCUGGAACUGGCUGUUGGUGUGGCUGGUAGGGGCAGGCCCAUAACUGGGAGGUUCUGGGGCUUGAGGAAGAAUCCCAACUUUUACUUUUGAAACAAGAGCAAACAGCAAACUGUGGAGGAGGUGGGUUUGUUUUCUUCAGUAGAUUUGCUGGAGUCCUUCUCAGGGGUAUCCCUGGCGCCCCAGAGGUGGCAUCUCUGAUGGCCCAUGGUUGUAGGAGGCCUCGGGCCAGCAUGCUGAAGAGUGAAAAUGCAGGUGGCCUGGGCCGUGAGUGCACAUGUGUGCAUGUGUGCGCACGGCCCCAUGCGUUACAGCGCAUGUGUGUGCACAUUAAGCCGGUGUCCCUUCCUGGGGCCCGGCCACAGGCGCCCUUCGCUGUGAGCCAACCCUCGCUUACGUUCAAAGGUGUGUUCACUGCCCAGUGGUGCCCCAGUAGCUUCCACGGCCUCAUGGGUUCACGAGCCCCUGUACAGCCAACACCCCUCCUCUCCACAGCUAGGAGGGAGGACGCUGGCAGCUUGUCUGCCUCGUCCCGCUUUCCCCAGGGUGGCAGGGCAGAGGUGCCCUCAGUGCAGGGGUGCCAGGCCCUGGCAGGCAGGAGAGGGAACUGCUGCCUCCUCAUGCUGCCCAUGGGCCUGGUUGACCUCCAGGCCCGGGCUGCCCCGUUGGGGCUGCGCCUGUGGGGUGUGUACCUGACCUCUGGCUGAGAAUCUGGUGGGGCUCCGGCAGCCAUACUCAUCUAUGAGCCCUGCUGGCGGUGAGCUCGGACGGCCUGGCUGCAUUUGGUUAACGUGUCCCCAAGGCUGGUGGGGAUGGGGCUGUGGGUGGAUGAGAGCUCGGCUGAGGGUGCCUGGUGGCUGUUCACUGGGCAUGGAGGUGGCCACAAGCUCCUGGGGAAAGGGGGCAGAGGCAAAGACGAAGCCUGGACUUCUCUGUUGCCACCGUAAAAUAACACUUGGGUCCAUGCCUGGGAAGGCCUAGAGGUGCAUUCCAGCCUGUGUGUCUCUUCUGACGGGUCGGAUGGGGUGCCUGGGACCCAGCAGGGAAGGUGGGUAGGUGGAUUGGUGAUGUCUGCAAGGAGGGCUGUGGGGCACUCCUGCGUGCCACAUGCUCCCCUCCUGGCCCUGUGGUCUCUGCGCUAAUCUGAUGUCACCCUUCUACCGAGAGCUUAGUACCACCGCUGUGUGUUUUCACUGUGACUUCUGCAGAAUUUUCUGCCCAUACUGCCGGCUCUUCUGGAUCCCCCUCCUUGGACAGUGUUGGUGUGAGGGGGUGGUCGGUGCGUGUGUGGUGGUGGAAUAACUCACCCGGGUUGGAGCCAGCCUCACACUGCCGGGGCUCAGUGGGUCUUACCUGGGCUGCCCAUCGGCAACAUUUGAAGAUGAGGAACUUUUAAGAUUCCCGGUGCCCCGGCCACACCCCAGACCAAUCAGAUCGGCAGCCGUGGGGGUGGUGCCUGGGUACCAGGGCUCCCUGGUGAUUCUGUUGUGCCUCAGGGUGAGCCCACUGGUGGAGAUGGCCUGGGCCGGGCAUUCCUGGGGUUCCUCCUGCAGCUCUGCUGGCAUCUGUUGUGCCUUGGCCUUUGCCAUAAGACUGAAAUCUUCAGAGGCCCUGUUGUUGCUUGAAGUCUCAGAUCUGGGCCUGCCUCCGCUGUCUUGGGCCCUCCAGGCUCCCCAGGCUGCAGUUGUCCUCGUCCUGGAUUUGCCUCUCCCCUUCCCAUAGGCCUAUGUACUCCCAGUUCCCUAAGAGCGGGUGGAGCUGGCUUAGGGAUGGAGGGGCUGAGAGGCCACUGGGAAGCUGUGGUUGGGAGUCUGGGAGCCAGUCUGGAGUUCUGGGUGUCGGGAGCAGAGCGGCUCUGGGAGACUGCAUGAGCAGAGCCUCUCAUCUAGAAGCGGUCAGGACCGUGAUCCCAGGAGGCAUGUACAUCCCAUCUCCGGCAGGGAUGGGGUGGCUCAGCUCCAACUCUGCCCACGUUGGCCUUUGGGGUUCAAGGCGGGGCUGGGGCUGGGCCACCCCAUCUCUGCAGGCAGGAACCUGGCAUCCCUGAACCCUUUCGUGUGUCCAGCUCCUUUCUGCCUCACCCCUUGUGGGCACCACCCCUGUGCAUGCUGGGGGAGGACCUCGGCUGUGGGUGCUUGCAUCUUUGCGUCCCUCUCUUUCCCCUGACCUCUGUCCUCACCUGCGGGAAAUGCAGGCCCAGUUGUCCGGGAGCUGUGCUGUGGGUCCCAGGUGUAUGAGCAGUGCCUAGUGUGCCUGGGCCUGGCAUGGGUAUCUCUGCGUCUCUGAACUCCCCAGCUGGACCGGGCACUGUUAACUGAAGAGCAAACAGUAAAAAGUAGCCUGACCCUUGGCCACUUAUCCUCGGUCAGGGAGGUAGUGGACAGAGUCCCCGAUUCCUUCCUAGCCUCAGUUUCCUGAUCUGCCGGUCUCCGAAGAGCUGGGAGGGUGAACAGAGAUGAAGCCAACGGAGCUCACCUGCAGCUCAGCCAGCGCCAGGAACUGCUAGUUGUCGUUUUUGGUUAAUUUUUCCUCGCCUGGGCUUCACGUCUCAGGGUGGGUUGGGAGGGAGACGCACCGGCCCAGAGUUACAGUGGAGGGGUGGGGUAGUAGAGUCCGGCUGGGAGGGGCGGCGCUGUCCACAGACAGGUUUUCAAAGCUGCGCUCUGUAGCCAGGCUGAGGACCCAGAGGCCAGGGAGCUGUGUGCAGCCCCGCUGGGUGGGGGAGGUCCUGGGCCUGCUCCUCUGGAGUAUUCAGCUUGGAACGCAGCCUUGCCACAUGUUGGAGACAGGUAGGGACCUGGCCCGUUGUGCAACCUGCAGCUGUGCGGGAGAAUUCCUCCCAGGGCCCUGGGCUCACCCUGCCCUGGAGUCUGCAUUUUUCAGGAAGCUCCGCGGGUACCCUCUCAGUGGGUCAGAGGCUUGGAGGAGGCCAGGGUCCGCACCCAGGUGUCAGACAAGCCCUGGGGGAGGGCAGCUGAGGGGCUGGGGGACAGCUCCCUGCCCACGGGAUGGCCGCUGGGCCCGCACUGCUACAGAGUAGUGGCAGGGAGGUGCUUCCACGGCGCCCUCACUAUGGGAUCUGGCUCGGGCCUGUCCCAGGCCAGGCCUCCUUUCCCUGGUGACCUGGAAAAGCAUGGACCCUGCUGGCAUGUCCUUCCCUCCUGCCCCUGCCAGGUGGAGCAGGGUGGGGCCUUCUGGGGAAGGUGCUCCACCCUCACCUGGCUUCCUUGCCCCAGCCCUGCAAGGGAGGGGAACUGUGUCAGGCUCUUGUAGGUGACUCUCCCUGGGGGAGCUCUGGGGCCUCGGGCAGGUCACUUCACCAGCCGCAGCCUUGCUCUCCUCAUCGGUAAAAAGCGGGGAAGGGUUUCUACCUUGGAUUUUGGUAAGGGGGAGCCAUUGUUUAGCUCCCGCCGGAACACACCUGGGAUGGCGUUGGGCUGGGGAUUGCGUGCUGGCUGGGCUGAGAAUCCAGGAAUUGCUGCCUGUGCUUCUGCAAUGCCCACCCGGGCUUCCGGGUAUAUAGGGCAGCAUGGUCUGCAGGAUGGAGGCCCUUCCUGCUGACACAGGAGGCUGGGGAAGGUCUGUGGCUGGAGAAGGUCCGUGCCUUGCCCAAAAGUAUGUCUUACCACCCCUACCUCGAGAGAUGGCCCAGUGCGCUGAGCACCUACUGUAUCCUAGCACUGUGGUGGCCGUCCUGCUCAGUGGCUCUUGGAUUAGCCAUCCUUGGCCACCUGCAGGGGAGGACGAGUGUUCUCACCAUUGUCCUGCUGUGGAGGGAAAGGUGACAAGCUUGUCUGGUGGCACCUGUGCCCUCAAAGUGUUGGGAAAGGGUAGUUUUCCCAGGUGGGGGCCCCUGCCACGCCCCAGCCUCACGCUGCCUGAGGCCCUGCUCAGCCUCCACCCUCGAUGGCCCUGAUAGAAAGUGUCUCCCAACACCUCCGCACCCUGCCUUUCUCCCAGCCUCAGCAGCCCUGGAGGUGGCCCGAGGCCCGUGCCCAUGACCCGUGCUGGGCACCCCCAGGAAGCUCAGAGGCCCCCGGGCAGAGCCGGGGAGGCGUGAAGGCAUAGCCAGGGCGGAAGCAAAACAAAAGAAAAAAA